rnacentral:lncRNA from 1 species
ACCUCUUAGAUCUCUCUCUCUGCGGAAGCCAGCCACCGCUCUCCAAGGACUCUCGAGCAGCUCCAUCUACAGAUUCACAUGGAGAAGAAUUAAGGGUUCCUGCCAAUCACCAGCACCACUUUGCCAGCCUUGUAAGUGGGCCACCUUGGAAUUGGAGCCUCCAGUUCCUACUGACAUCUGACUGCAACAUCAUGAGAGACCCUGAGUUUGAACCACCCAGCUGAGCUGCUUCUGAGCUAACCCACUGAAACCGUGAAAGUACCUGAAUGAAACAACACCCAGUAGCCACUAGCACACCUAGCUCCCAGAUCUGUUUUUGAUGCCAUUCUUCAGUAAAAGGAAGCAAGGCUGCUUGGAGAAAUUGCUAUCAAGGACUGGGGUAGAAAAUAUACAAGAUGAAAUUGGAGCAUCUUGUAGUGCUUGAAAACAGUUGGCAUCUGUGUGAAGAUGUGAAUGGAGGAGGCAGAGUAGGCAGUGAGUGCCGCAGCCACAGCUUGUGUUCUCUGCAGCCCUGGCACAGAAGAUAGGAACACUCAUGGGGGAUGCGGCCACUGUGAUGUCUUCCCACACAAGAAGUGCCAAGUGCUUUUCUCAUGCUUUUCUGGAUUGUCCCAUGGUGGACGAGUCAGCAGGAGUGAGAUGGAGCAGCACAGUAGAGGGGCCAGGAUAUCGUUGUACAUAUUCUCAGCUAAGUGAGCACCAAUAGAGGAGAGGGAGAGUCUCAUGGAAGUUCCUUCUAAGCCUUUGGCUCUUUUUACCUUCAACAAGGUUCCUUAGAUCCUGGGAUGAGGAGGUGGACCAGCAGAAGGUGGGCUUGUGAAGGCAGCCCGGGGUCCAAAUCCUCCUGGCUCUUCAGCUUAGCGGGUUAGUUAACAUUCAGAAGCCUUCAUCUCCCAUCUGCAAAAUGGGCAUGUCCAACUCAGAAGCUGCCUUGAAGAAAGGGUCUACCCAGCAUGGUGCGUGGAGCCUAAGCAGUCAGUACUUCAGGACUUCACCCGGCCCCUUUCCAAUAACUGCUGCUGUCGCCCUCACAGGAUGUCACCUUCAGCGUCUGAAAGCUGGGUUUGAUGCGUCUGGAAAGGCGUCCCUGACAGGCGUCGUUGCCAGGAGCCCCUAGUGCCACCAGCAGCCAGCAGGGGAGGGCGUCCUCUGCCCGCUCACUUCUGACCCUUCUCUCGUUGCACCCGGAACAUGGUGCAGCUGGGAGCAGCCUGGGCUGCGCGGAAGGCUCAGAUUUGGGGACGGCCCUUGCCAGUGACUGUGAGCUGGGGUGUCUUGGAAACUCCCAGUCUCAGCUUCUCCAUUUAUAAGAUGAGAAUGAUCAUACCAGACUCAGGCAAGGUUGUUUGUGCAUUAGUGAAAUCAGACGUAUUAAAUAAAGUACCACAUUGAUCGUGGAGUUGUUGAAUAACCAAGAA